UGCGCGGAAGAUGUAACGGGGCUAAACCAUGCACCGAAGCUGCGGCAGCGACACUAUGUGUUGUUGGGUAGGGGAGCGUUCUGUAAGCCUGCGAAGGUGACCUGUGAGGGUUGCUGGAGGUAUCAGAAGUGCGAAUGCUGACAUAAGUAACGAUAAAGCGGGUGAAAAGCCCGCUCGCCGGAAGACCAAGGGUUCCUGUCCAACGUUAAU
rnacentral:rRNA from 1 species